GGCGGUAUUUAUUAGAUAACAAGCCAAUAUUCCUUGUGUCUAUUGUGGUGACUCAUAAUAACUGAUCGAAUCGCACGGCCUACGGCCGCGAUAAGUCAUUCAAGUUUCUGCCCCAUCAGCUUUCGAUGGUAGUGUAUUGGACUACCAUGGCGUUUACGGGUAACGGAGGAUUAGGGUUCGAUUCCGGAGAGGGAGCCUGAGAAACGGCUACCACAUCUAAGGAAGGCAGCAGGCGCGUAAAUUACCCAAUCCUGACUCAGGGAGGUAGUG
rnacentral:rRNA from 1 species